rnacentral:rRNA from 1 species
GUGCACCAGGCGCGAAAACUUCGCAAUGCGCGAAAGCGCGACGAGGGGAUUCCAAGUGCAUGCACUAAGUGUAUGCUUUUCGUGAGUUUAAAACGCUCACGGAAUAAGGGCUGGGUAAGACUGGUGCCAGCCGCCGCGGUAAUACCAGCGGCCCUAGUGGUGAUCGUUAUUAUUGGGCCUAAAGCGUCCGUAGCCGGUCCGGUAAAUCUCUGGGUAAAUCGUUGGGCUUAACUCAGCGAAUUCUGGGGAGACUGCUGGACUUGGGACCGGGAGAGGUCGGAGGUACUCCA